AUAACGACUCUCGGCAACGGAUAUCUCGGCUCUCGCAUCGAUGAAGAACGUAGCGAAAUGCGAUACUUGGUGUGAAUUGCAGAAUCCCGUGAACCAUCGAGUCUUUGAACGCAAGUUGCGCCCGAAGCCAUCCGGUUGAGGGCACGUCUGCCUGGGCGUCACGC
rnacentral:rRNA from 2 species